AAAAGUAGGCGCAGGCGGUUGCGGAUUAGCGAAAGCUAGUCUGAGGAAAGUCCGGGCUCCCGAAAAACCAAACUUGCUGGGUAACGCCCAGUGCGAGCGAUCGUGAGGAUAGUGCCACAGAAAGAUACCGCCCCCCACAAAAAUCGAUCGUCAAAAAUCGCAAAGUGUUAGGGGGUAAGGGUGCAAAGGUGCGGUAAGAGCGCACCAGCAGCAUCGAGAGGUGCUGGCUAGGUAAACCCCGGUUGGGAGCAAGGUCGGAGGGACUAUGGUUGGUUUUUUACCGGUUCCGUUCUUUGGUACCGCUUGAGGCGUCUGGUAACAGGCGUCCCAGAUAGAUAACUGCCCUCGAAAACUGCUUGCAGUUGAGAGAACAGAACCCGGCUUAUGUCCGACUUUUUCCC
rnacentral:RNase_P_RNA from 1 species